GUCUCUGAAUUCUGUACCAUUCACGACCUAUUUUGAUUAUUGUUAUUCUUUCUUGCCGCUUCUGCCUCCGUCGAUCGAACAGAAUGUGAGAAGGGAGAGGAGUUGUGUUAUUUUGCUGUCGUCGUCGUUGCCGAAACCAGGACAAAUUUACCGGAGAUAGUGUUGAUGAUAAUAAAGAACUAUUAGAGUUGCUGCUGCUGCUGCUAGUUUGGUUCGAGUCUGUUGCUGCUACAAACUAAAACAAAAGAGGGGUUUGCUGCUCUUAAUUAUCAAAUUUCGGCUAAUCGAGAACUGAUGAGGUAAUCAACACUCAAUUGAUGGUUUUUCGGUAAAUUUUUUCCAAAAAUGGAUCAAGCAUUUUUCUCCAUAUUUCAGCUGGAAACAAAGAGGUUGUUAUGGUUUAUUGGUAUUACAUUUGCAGUAUGUAAAUUAAAUUAUUAGUUUUAUUAUAGAAUUGUAAUUUUUUUAAUUAUAAUUAUAGCAUGUAAAUAAUUUAUGUAAAUCAAUAAAAAAAUCAAUUCUUUUUAUACUUUCUUAUUUUCUCCCUUCAAAAGCGUGGCUAUGUCUCCUAUUGGCACGCUUUCGAAGCGUAGUUAACACUAACUCAAUUGGCACGUUUCUAAAAAAGCGUGGUGAAAAGAUAUCGCUACACUUUUUGCAUAUUUGGAAUGCUUUAAAAGCAUAGCAAAAGCCAGAUUUUUUUGUAGUGUGAGAUACUUAUUGAU